rnacentral:tRNA from 1 species
AAUUUAGUAUUGUAUAUAACAUAUCAAACUGUAAAUUUGGGGAAACGAAAGUCUAAGUUA